AUGUAACAUGCCAUUCUAAAAUAGUGGACUGUGCUUGAUGGUUCUAUAGUAUCUUGUAUUCUGAAACUGAUUAGAACACCCACAUUGAUACAAAGUUCAUCAAGCUGGAUGCUGAAAAUGCGCCCUUCUUUGUGACAAAAUUAGCAGUCAAAACUCUGCCUUGCAUCAUAUUGUUCAAAAAUGGUGUUGCCUUCGACAGGCUGAUUGGGUUUCAAGAUCUUGGCAGCAAAGAUGAUUUUACCAUGAGUGCCUUGGAGAAUCUUCUGAAAAGAAAAGGCAUCAUAGAUGAAAGGAAAGGAGGUGACAAUGAUGAAGAUGCAGACGAUGAUACUGACAGUUACAAACACAGGAACAUCAGGUCUUCUACAAUUCAGGAUUCUGAUUCAGACUGAGCAGACAGCAAUACCACAAUUUUUUUAUCUUAAUGUCUAUCUUGACCAUAUACUCUAAGAAAAGUACUUUUGCACAUCCGCUAGGGGUUCUUGAACCCACAAAUUCCAGCAAACAAGCAGGGCUUCAGAUCAUCUAUGAUAUGUACUGAUGCACAACCUUUCUUAUUUUAUCUUUCUAAAGAUUGUUGUUUUUUCU